rnacentral:misc_RNA from 1 species
GGAGGCUUCUCCUGUCCCUCACAAAUGAAAAUACUAGAUAACAACUGAAACUUUGAAAGUUUUCCGAAACCAAGCAACCUUGAUUAGAAGUCAGAAGCACCCUUGUUAGGAAUCGUAAGUUUUCAUGGAACACAGACAUAUAGAAAUCUUGUCUUUAAUGGGUGAAGUCUCCUGGUCCCAACGUCAGCAACUAAAUCAACAUCCCUCACAUUUUUUCUCCUUCUUUU